AGUGAACGCUGGCGGUAGGCCUAACACAUGCAAGUCGAACGGCAGCACAGGAGAGCUUGCUCUCUGGGUGGCGAGUGGCGGACGGGUGAGGAAUACAUCGGAAUCUACUCUGUCGUGAGGGAUAACGUAGGGAAACUUACGCUAAUACCGCAUACGACCUACGGGUGAAAGCAGGGGACCUUCGGGCCUUGCGCGAUUGAAUGAGCCGAUGUCGGAUUAGCUAGUUGGGGGGGUAAAGGCCCACCAAGGCGACGAUCCGUAGCUGGUCUGAGAGGACGAUCAGCCACACUGGAACUGAGACACGGUCCAGACUCCUACGGGAGGCAGCAGUGGGGAAUAUUGGACAAUGGGCGCAAGCCUGAUCCAGCCAUACCGCGUGGGUGAAGAAGGCCUUCGGGUUGUAAGGCCCUUUUGUUGGGAAAGAAAUCCAGCUGGCUAAUACCCGGUUGGGAUGACGGUACCCAAAGAAUAAGCACCGGCUAACUUCGUGCCAGCCGCCGCGGUAA
rnacentral:rRNA from 1 species